GUGACGACGCGACGCCGCGUGCGGGAGGAAGGCCUUCGGGUCGUAAACCGCUUUUAGGGGGUACGAAGCGAUCAGGGUGAACAAUCCUGAAAGCUGACUUAAACCCCAGAAUAAGCUCCGGCUAACUUCGUGCCAGCAGCCGCGGUAAGACGAAGGGAGCGAGCGUUGUUCGGUAUCACUGGGCUUAAAGGGCGCGUAGGCGGCCUAUUAUGUCGGUUGUGAAAUCCUCAGGCUUAACCUGAGAAUUGCUGCCGAAACUGGUAGGCUUGAGGUGUUCUGGGGGUGACUGGAACUCUUGGUGGAGCGGUGAAAUGCGUAGAUAUCAGGAGGAACGCCGGCGGCGAAAGCGACUCUCUGGCCUGUUACUGACGCUGAGGCGCGAAAGCUAGGGGAGCAAACGGGAUUAGAUACCCCGGUAGUCCUAGCCCUAAACGAU
rnacentral:rRNA from 1 species